UACGUAGGUGGCAAGCGUUGUCCGGAUUUAUUGGGUUUAAAGGGUGCGUAGGCGGUUCCUUAAGUCAGUUGUGAAAUACGGCAGCUUAACUGUCGAGGUGCAAUUGAUACUGGGGAACUUGAGUACUGAUGAGGUAUGCGGAAUGGACGGUGUAGCGGUGAAAUGCUUAGAUAUCGUCCAGAACACCGAUAGCGAAGGCAGCAUACUAAGGAGUAACUGACGCUGAGGCACGAAAGUGUGGGGAUCAAACAGG
rnacentral:rRNA from 1 species